rnacentral:rRNA from 1 species
UACGUAGGGUGCAAGCGUUGCCCGGAUUUAUUGGGCGUAAAGAGCUCGUAGGCGGUCUGUCGCGUCUGCUGUGAAAACUCAGGGCUUAACCCUGAGCUUGCAGUGGGUACGGGCAGACUAGAGUGCGGUAGGGGAGACUGGAAUUCCUGGUGUAGCGGUGAAAUGCGCAGAUAUCAGGAGGAACACCGGUGGCGAAGGCGGGUCUCUGGGCCGUAACUGACGCUGAGGAGCGAAAGCAUGGGGAGCGAACAGG